UCUAUCAGCAUUAUUUGACAGGCGACAGGAUUAUGUGAAGCGGCAAACUCGUUUUGUAUCCCGCAAACCAGCAAAAGUUAUAAUAUCAACAAUUGAAGCUGUUGCAGAAUCAAUGAGUCUUAAGGUUCAUACACGUAAUUACAGGACAAGACUAGAAGGAAUCUCUGCAAAUAAGGUUGGACAUUUUGCAGUUGUCCUAGAGGUUUUUGAAGUUGCACCAUCACUUUUCAUGGUAGAUGUCCGAAAGGCUUCUGGUGAUACUCUUGAAUAUCACAAGUUCUACAAAAACUUCUGUGCUAAACUAGAAAGUAUCAUUUGGAAGCCAACAGAUGGCGUGAAUCCCAGUCUACUUCUCUGAGGGUGUGAAGAUAAUCGUAUGUUUUGCCAUUUGUAUAUUAUGAUCUACUUGCAAGGUGUGAAAUUAUAAUGUUGUAAAAUUGCUAAUCCUGCUAUUAACCAAGUACUUCAUAUGCUCCCUUCCCUCCUCUGUUUUAGGGAGACCUUUUACCCUC
rnacentral:misc_RNA from 1 species